rnacentral:rRNA from 1 species
AGGACGAACGCUGGCGGCGUGCUUAACACAUGCAGGUCGAGCGGAAAGGCCCUUCGGGGUACUCGAGCGGCGAACGGGUGAGUAACACGUGAGUAAUCUGCCCCUAGCUCUGGGAUAGCUCCGGGAAACCGGGAUUAAUACCGGAUACGACCACUUUAGACAUCUGUUGUGGUGGAAAGAAUUUUGGCUAGGGAUGAGCUCGCGGCCUAUCAGCUUGUUGGUGGGGUAAUGGCCUACCAAGGCGACGACGGGUAGCCGGCCUGAGAGGGCGACCGGCCACACUGGGACUGAGACACGGCCCAGACUCCUACGGGAGGCAGCAGUGGGGAAUAUUGCGCAAUGGGCGAAAGCCUGACGCAGCGACGCCGCGUGGGGGAUGAAGGCCUUCGGGUUGUAAACCCCUUUCAGCAGGGACGAAGCGAAAGUGACGGUACCUGCAGAAGAAGCGCCGGCUAACUACGUGCCAGCAGCCGC